CACGACGAAAAAAUAUUAGUCGAGCAAAGUUUUGCGUGAAAAAAAUUAUUGGUCGCGCAAAGGCUAAAAAAAAAAUUGGGGAGAGGAGUGAGUGUGAGAGAAAGGGUGGGAUUUGGGGAGAGGGAAAGAGAGAGGAGAGAUAAGAGUAGAGAAAGACAUUAAGAAAAUCAUGGAGGAGUUAUUUUGGUUUUUAAAACCGUAUCACUUUGCGCGACGAAAAAUAUAUAUUGAUAGUGCAAAGUUUUGCACGACGAAAAAUAUUGGAUUAUUGGUAGUGCAAAGUUUUGUGCGACGAAAAAUAUUGGUCGCACAAAGUCUAAAAAAAAUUUAAAACAUAUUUUUUUUUCCGCGUCCCAUUUUUGGUACCCGCCCAAAUUUUUAAAAUUUUGUGCGUCGAAAAAUAUUUUAGUAUUGGUCGUGCAAAGUCUAAAAAAAAAAAAAAUUCCCGCGUCCCAUUUUUGGUACCCACCCAAAAUUUAAAAGUUUUGCGCCACGAAAAAUAUUUGAAUAUUGGUCGUGCAAAGUCUAAAAAAAAAAUUUAAAAUAAAAUAAAAUCC
rnacentral:lncRNA from 1 species